rnacentral:pre_miRNA from 1 species
AAAAAGACAAACCCUGGUUUUCGUGCCCAACGUUUGACCGUCCGUCUUAUUUGAAAAAAUUAUGAAAAAAAUUAAAAAGACAAGUCACGCACAAAGUAUUAAUUAUGUUUUAUCAUCUAACAACAAUAAAAAUACGAAUUAUAAAAAAAUUUCAUAUAAGACGGACAGUCAAAGUUGGACACGGAAACUCAGGGUUUGUCUUUUU